GCUUAACUCUGCCCCGAUUAGCGCUGUUUCGAUAUAACGCUGUGCAAUUACAUUACAUUGCAAUACAUUGUUACAUUGUAUAUGAAGAGUAAAAAUGCAUUAUGUAAAUUAUGCAAAAAUAACCCCGCUUUGCGCUGUUGUUUCGCUUUACGCUCAAUAUUUUUGGAACGUAACCCCGCGUUAAGCGGGGUAUUACUGUAUAUUUGUAUUAUAUCACUGUAUAUAUGUAGCAUUACUGGCUGCGCAUGCUCCUGCCUAUUUCUACUUUCCCCUAUUUCGACCGAGAAUGUCGGUGAGAGAGAACGAGCACGUUUUUCAGCCGAAAAUUCCGAGUCAGGAUACUAAUCUUUUUACUUUCUUUUCUGUGUAAUAGCUGUUCGCUAUUUUUAGGCAUUGGUAAUCUUUUGGUUUGGUUUCCAUUAUUACGUUAUUUUGCCUAUUUUCAAUCAUACAACAUUCUCUUAUUGUAACAUUGAAGAAAUCUUUUCCAAACGUUUUGCGGUUCUGUCUCUGUGCAUUUUUAGUUUAUGGAGGAUUUUGUUUUUGUGGUUGGGUCGUUUUGGGUCCUCAUCUCAAAUUUCGUACGCUAAGCUAACAUUGGAAUGUUUGUUUUCACUUAUGAACGUUGAUGAUAUGUUUGCUACAUUUGCUACUCGAUGCAUACGAAUCGGUUCGUGAUUCAUAUAAAGAAAUCAAUGACUUAUCACAGUCAAAUUCAACUCUAAAAAAAUUUUUAGAAGAAUAUCCAAUGGAGAAUUUUGAUUCUGGAUUCCAUAAUAACUCAUUUGUUGACCAAAUUCAAAACUAUUUUCGAAUCUGUUUUCGCUCAUCGUCGAAUGCUUCUUGACAUAUAAGAAUUUAAAUUUUACGACUAAAAUUGUUAUGAUUUUAUAACUCAACUUUUAAUUAAUAUUUAAAUGAAUAAAAUAGUGAUUUAAUUUACGAAAAAUUAUUUGAUU